AUUGAACGCUGGCGGCAGGCCUAACACAUGCAAGUCGAACGGAGUGGCGGACGGGUGAGUAAUGUCUGGGAAACUGCCUGAUGGAGGGGGAUAACGUCCGGAAACGGGAUCUAAUACCGCAUACUAACAGAUGAGCAUAGGUCGGAUUAGCUAGUUGGGGGGGUAAAGGCCUACCAAGGCGACGAUCCGUAACUGGUUUGAGAGGAUGAUCGGCCACACUGGAACUGAGACACGGCCCAAACUCCUACGGGAGGCAGCAGGGGGGAAUAUUGGACAAUGGGCGAAAGCCUGAUCCAGCCAUGCCGCGUGUGUGAAGAAGGUCUUCGGAUUGUAAAGCACUUUAGGUUGGGAGGCGUUACCAACAGAAUAAGCACCGGCUAACUUCGUGCCAGCAGCCGCGGUAAUAC
rnacentral:rRNA from 1 species